CGGGAUAAGAAAAUCUUAAUUAAACAGAACUUGCAAUAAAGAAAGCCUAAAUAGCUCUCUCUUUACAGGAAGUGUUUAUGGAAGGCUGUGCAAGUCACAUGCAGGGAGGUGUGACCAGGGUUCAUAAACAAAGGGAUUUAACUCCUAAAUGGCAGAUGAUUGAGCAGUGAGGCUGCAUGGGGCAUGUUCUUUACACCAAAACUGCUUCAUUAAGCUAAAGUUGUUCAGGUGAAUUUAAAAUGUUAGCCAAAAUAGUUGAACUGACCUGGAGAAUUUUUUUAAGUUCAACUAUUCUAGCCUAAAGUAUGAAAUUCACCUUGAAACCCGUUGAAUUCCUA